rnacentral:rRNA from 1 species
GACGAACGCUGGCGGCGUGCUUAACACAUGCAAGUCGAACGGAAAGGCCCUGCUUUUGUGGGGUGCUCGAGUGGCGAACGGGUGAGUAACACGUGAGUAACCUGCCCUUGCCUUUGGGAUAACUUCAGGAAACUGGGGCUAAUACCGGAUAGGAGCUCCUGCUGCAUGGUGGGGGUUGGAAAGUUUCGGCGGUUGGGGAUGGACUCGCGGCUUAUCAGCUUGUUGGUGGGGUAGUGGCUUACCAAGGCUUUGACGGGUAGCCGGCCUGAGAGGGUGACCGGCCACAUUGGGACUGAGAUACGGCCCAGACUCCUACGGGAGGCAGCAGUGGGGAAUAUUGCACAAUGGGCGGAAGCCUGAUGCAGCAACGCCGCGUGCGGGAUGACGGCCUUCGGGUUGUAAACCGCUUUCGCCUGUGACGAAGCGUGAGUGACGGUAAUGGGUAAAGAAGCACCGGCUAACUACGU